GGCGCGAUAGCCAAGUGGUAAGGCAGAGGUCUGCAAAACCUCUAUACGCGAGUUCGAUUCUCGCUCGCGCCUCAA
rnacentral:tRNA from 1 species